UAAAGGGUAGUUUAGGCUUUAGCCAAUAGUUGAUCCAGAUGAAUUGUUGAAUAGAUCACCAAUCAAUGUAAUUAAUUAAAAAUUAAGCAAAAUUAGCAUAAAGGUAAGAAAUAAAAAAAAAAGAGGUAUUGAGGAUGUGAAAGUCUGAUAACAAACACGAGACCGUCUCGCCCCAUACCGAAGAAAAGCCAGCCCGACUCCAAGAGAAGAACCAACCCUCCCCCCCCCCCCCAAAAAAAAAAAUCCAAAGCAAAUAUCGUAAUUCCUCUUGGCUCAUUCUUUCAC
rnacentral:lncRNA from 1 species